AAGAGGAGGCAGAUUCUCGGUCGAUCUAUGUUGGUAAUGUGGAUUAUGCUUGCACCCCUGAGGAAGUCCAACAACAUUUCCAGUCUUGUGGGACUGUAAACAGAGUAACUAUUUUGACAGACAAGUUUGGCCAGCCAAAGGGAUUUGCGUACGUGGAAUUUAUUGAGGUUGAAGCUGUUCAAAAUGCUCUCUUAUUGAAUGAGUCAGAGUUGCAUGGCCGUCAGUUAAAGGUUUCAGCUAAAAGGACUAAUGUCCCAGGACUGAAGCAGUUUCGAG
rnacentral:misc_RNA from 1 species